rnacentral:rRNA from 1 species
GACGAACGCUGGCGGCGUGCUUAACACAUGCAAGUCGAACGGAAAGGCCCUGCUUUUGUGGGGUGCUCGAGUGGCGAACGGGUGAGUAACACGUGAGUAACCCGCCCUUGACUUUGGGAUAACUUCAGGAAACUGGGGCUAAUACCGGAUAGGAGCUCCUGCUGCAUGGUGGGGGUUGGAAAGUUUCGGCGGUUGGGGAUGGACUCGCGGCUUAUCAGCUUGUUGGUGGGGUAGUGGCUUACCAAGGCUUUGACGGGUAGCCGGCCUGAGAGGGUGACCGGCCACAUUGGGACUGAGAUACGGCCCAGACUCCUACGGGAGGCAGCAGUGGGGAAUAUUGCACAAUGGGCGGAAGCCUGAUGCAGCAACGCCGCGUGCGGGAUGACGGCCUUCGGGUUGUAAACCGCUUUCGCCUGUGACGAAGCGUGAGUGACGGUAAUGGGUAAAGAAGCACCGGCUAACUACGUGCCAGCAGCCGCGGUGAUACGUAGGGUGCGAGCGUUGUCCGGAUUUAUUGGGCGUAAAGGGCUCGUAGGUGGUUGAUCGCGUCGGAAGUGUAAUCUUGGGGCUUAACCCUGAGCGUGCUUUCGAUACGGGUUGACUUGAGGAAGGUAGGGGAGAAUGGAAUUCCUGGUGGAGCGGUGGAAUGCGCAUAUAUCAGGAGGAACACCAGUGGCGAAGGCGGUUCUCUGGGCCUUUCCUGACGCUGAGGAGCGAAAGCGUGGGGAGCGAACAGGCUUAGAUACCCUGGUAGUCCACGCUGUAAACGGUGGGUACUAGGUGUGGGGUCCAUUCCACGGGUUCCGUGCCGUAGCUAACGCUUUAAGUACCCCGCCUGGGGAGUACGGCCGCAAGGCUAAAACUCAAAGGAAUUGACGGGGCCCCGCACAAGCGGCGGAGCAUGCGGAUUAAUUCGAUGCAACGCGUAGAACCUUACCUGGGUUUGACAUGGAUCGGGAGCGCUCAGAGAUGGGUGUGCCUCUUUUGGGGUCGGUUCACAGGUGGUGCAUGGCUGUCGUCAGCUCGUGUCGUGAGAUGUUGGGUUAAGUCCCGCAACGAGCGCAACCCUUGUUCACUGUUGCCAGCACGUUAUGGUGGGGACUCAGUGGAGACCGCCGGGGUCAACUCGGAGGAAGGUGGGGAUGACGUCAAGUCAUCAUGCCCCUUAUGUCCAGGGCUUCACGCAUGCUACAAUGGCUGGUACAGAGAGUGGCGAGCCUGUGAGGGUGAGCGAAUCUCGGAAAGCCGGUCUCAGUUCGGAUUGGGGUCUGCAACUCGACCUCAUGAAGUCGGAGUCGCUAGUAAUCGCAGAUCAGCAACGCUGCGGUGAAUACGUUCCCGGG